rnacentral:rRNA from 1 species
GGUAAUUCUAGAGCUAAUACAUGCGAAAAAACCCGACUUCUCGGAAGGGUUGUAUUUAUUAGAUAAAGAACCAAUAUUUUUGGUGACUCAUAAUAACUUUACGGAUCACAUUAUGUGACAUAUCAUUCAAGUUUCUGACCUAUCAGCUUUAGACGGUAGGGUAUUGGCCUACCGUGGCUAUGACGGGUAACGGGGAAUUAGGGUUCGAUUCCGGAGAGGGAGCCUGAGAAACGGCUACCACAUCUAAGGAAGGCAGCAGGCGCGCAAAUUACCCAAUCCUAAUACAGGGAGGUAGUGACAAGAAAUAACAAUACAGAACCUUACGGUUUUGUAAUUGGAAUGAGUUAAGUAUAAACCCCUUAACAAGUAUCAAUUGGAGGGCAAGUCUGGUGCCAGCAGCCGCGGUAAUUCCAGCUCCAAUAGCGUAUAUUAAAGUUGUUGCAGUUAAAAAGCUCGUAGUUAAUCUUCUGUUAAUUUUUAUAUAUAAUAUCACGAUAUUUAUAUAAUAUUAACAUAAUUCAUAUUACUUUUUAGUAUAUGAAACUUUACUUUGAG